UGGGGAAUAUUGCACAAUGGGCGCAAGCCUGAUGCAGCCAUGCCGCGUGUAUGAAGAAGGCCUUCGGGUUGUAAAGUACUUUCAGCGGGGAGGAAGGGAGUAAAGUUAAUACCUUUGCUCAUUGACGUUACCCGCAGAAGAAGCACCUGCUAACUCCGUGCCAGCAGCCGCGGUAAUACGGAGGGUGCAAGCGUUAAUCGGAAUUACUGGGCGUAAAGCGCACGCAGGCGGUUUGUUAAGUCAGAUGUGAAAUCCCCGGGCUCAACCUGUGAACUGCAUCUGAUACUGGCAAGCUUGAGUCUCGUAGAGGGGGGUAGAAUUCCAGGUGUAGCGGUGAAAUGCGUAGAGAUCUGGAGGAAUACCGGUGGCGAAGGCGGCCCCCUGGACGAAGACUGACGCUCAGGUGCGAAAGCGUGGGGAGCAAACAGG
rnacentral:rRNA from 1 species